rnacentral:tmRNA from 1 species
GGGGAUGAUCGGUUUCGACAGCGGAUGUUGAAGUAGGGGAAGCGAGCCGAGGACUGCGGCAAUGAUCUCGUUAACCAUGUGCCGCGAAAAAAUAAUCGCCAACAACAAGCGCGAUUCCUUCGCCCUCGCUGCCUGAGCAGCGACCUGCGAAGUGUCAGCCCGGGAGCGUUCCCGGCCCGGUGACUGGCAUCAGCUAGGGAACUGACCGGCCGCUCCGGUCACGGGAGCUGGUCGGGACACCACACAGUGACUGGGCCCGUCGGAGACUUGUCCGCGUGAUCUCCGGGGCCGAGAAAAACAGCAGCGGACUGCGCUCGGAGAAGCCCUCCUUCUGCUCCGUUGGACGCGGGUUCGAUUCCCGCCAUCUCCACGC